GACAGCAAGCCCACAGAAGUGUUUAUUGAAGAAAGGGAAGUCAAUAGUCCCUGGAGUUAAUGAGUGAUUGUUAUUUAUGGAAGGAAUGGUAUUUGCAGAUGGGAAUGACUGCAAAAUGCAUAGAAGGACACAGCCAUGCCCUUUCCACGGAAGUCACAGAGCACACCUCAACACACUGAGAAGACGUCCACGACAGAGAAAGAUGACGAAGGUGCUUCUGUGUACAGCUCAUCCACUU
rnacentral:lncRNA from 1 species